rnacentral:rRNA from 1 species
GAUGAACGCUAGCGGCAGGCCUAAUACAUGCAAGUCGAACGGGAUUAAGAGGCUUGCUUCUUAUGAGAGUGGCGCACGGGUGCGUAACACGUAUGCAACCUACCUUCAACUGGGGGAUAGCCUUCCGAAAGGGAGAUUAAUACCGCAUAAUAUAAUUGAGUGGCAUCACUUGAUUAUCAAACGUCAGGGUUGAAGAUGGGCAUGCGUCCGAUUAGUUUGUUGGUGAGGUAACGGCUCACCAAGACUACGAUCGGUAGGGGAUCUGAGAGGAUGGCACCCCACACCGGAACUGAGACACGGACCAGACUCCUACGGGAGGCAGCAGUAAGGAAUAUUGGUCAAUGGACGGAAGUCUGAACCAGCCAUGCCGCGUGCAGGAAGACGGUCCUCUGGAUUGUAAACUGCUUUUGUUAGGGAAGAAGCUUCCGUACGUGUACGGGACUGACGGUACCUAAAGAAUAAGGAUCGGCUAACUCCGUGCCAGCAGCCGCGGUAAAAC